AGUGUUCUUGUAGUUAC
rnacentral:miRNA from 1 species